rnacentral:tRNA from 1 species
UGAAAUAGCUCAGUUGGUAGAACAGGAGACUCUUAAUCUCAGGGUUGUGGGUUUGAGCCCCACAUUGGGCAAAA